rnacentral:rRNA from 1 species
GUGGGGAAUAUUGGACAAUGGGCGCAAGCCUGAUCCAGCCAUGCCGCGUGAGUGAUGAAGGCCUUAGGGUUGUAAAGCUCUUUCAGUGGGGACGAUAAUGACGGUACCCACAGAAGAAGCCCCGGCUAACUUCGUGCCAGCAGCCGCGGUAAUACGAAGGGGGCUAGCGUUGUUCGGAUUUACUGAGCGUAAAGCGCACGUAGGCGGAUCGUUAAGUCGGGGGUGAAAUCCUGGAGCUCAACUCCAGAACUGCCUUCGAUACUGGCGAUCUUGAGUCCGGAAGAGGUGAGUGGAACUCCUAGUGUAGAGGUGGAAUUCGUAGAUAUUAGGAAGAACACCAGUGGCGAAGGCGGCUCACUGGUCCGGUACUGACGCUGAGGUGCGAAAGCGUGGGGAGCAAACAGGAUUAGAAACCCGUGUAGUCC